rnacentral:sRNA from 1 species
CAUAGGGUUUCACCCCAUGCUGUUUUAUGUCGCCACUUCGUGGCU